rnacentral:rRNA from 1 species
GACGAACGCUGGCGGCGUGCUUAACACAUGCAAGUCGAGCGAGAAAGGGGGCGUUCGGCCUCCGAGUACAGCGGCGAACGGGUGCGUAACACGUGGGUGAUCUGUCCUCAAGACGGGGAUAACCCAGCGAAAGUUGGGCUAAUACCGGAUAAGACCACAAGAGGAAACUCUCGGGGUCAAAGGUGCUUCCUUUUGGGAGCAUUCGCUAGAGGAGGAGCCCGCGACCUAUCAGCUUGUUGGUAGGGAACGGCCUACCAAGGCAAAGACGGGUAGCUGGUCUGAGAGGAUGACCAGCCACACGGGGACUGAGAUACGGCCCCGACU